rnacentral:rRNA from 1 species
AGCAGCCGCGGUAAUUCCAGCUCCAAUAGCGUAUAUUAAAGUUGUUGCAGUUAAAAAGCUCGUAGUUGAAUUUCGGGGUUAGUAAGUUGGUCGUGCCACUGGUAUGUACUGGCUUUACUGAUUCCUCCUUCUUGUAGAACCGUAAUGCCAUUAAGUUGGUGUUGCGGGGAAACAGGACUGUUACUUUGAAAAAAUUAGAGUGUUUAAAGCAGGCUAACGCUUGAAUACAUUAGCAUGGAAUAAUGAAAUAGGACGCUCGAUCCUAUUUUGUUGGUUUU